rnacentral:tRNA from 1 species
GCAGAGGUAGUCAAGCCUGGCCAACGACGUUAGGUUCAGGCCCUAGCGGUCCACGGGUCCAAAUCCCGCCCUCUGCACCA